rnacentral:tRNA from 1 species
GAUCUCUAUAAUAUUUGAUUUGAAAUCAAAAAAAGGGAUAAUAUCCCAAAGAUCU